GCCAAGUUUUCGACUAAAAUAAACCAUAAGAAAUAAUAUGAACUACAAAAUUUCUCGCAUGAAUACAAAAUUUUGAUCUUCGAUUGAAGAUACAGAACAAGCAUCUGCCCAAUUCCCUAGUCCAUCGGCUCUCAUCAUGGUACUAGUCCACUAUUGCUUCCUCAGGCAUUAACCAAAAAUGAAUCAACAAUCCAUUUCUGAAAUUUCCCCAUUGCACUAUAUUAUUAUUUUCUCAUAAAUAAGCAAGCAUUACAAAGCAAAAUAUCAAAAUCCAAUGGAAAGAAAUGAAUAAUCAUUGGUAUUAGCAAUAUGAUCACGCAUCAGCUGCAACUUAAGCUCCAGAAGGAAAGAUUAAGCAUUUCUUCAAAAAGAAAGCAAGAACAAGAGUAGACCCACAAGAGUUAACAAUCUUAAACAAGUAUCAGUAACAAUUAUCCAAAAUAGAAAUGGCUUUAACAGUAUUGCCAUUGAAGUAAAGCCCAACAAAGUACUACACCAUUAAGAUAAACCCUAACAUGUAAAAUAGGAAACAAAAUGCUCAAUUACUCUUCCUCGGUGGCUGUCUCACCGCUCUUUUUGUUAUGCUUCCUGGCAUACCGCUGGUUCCUCAAGAACUUGGGAUCCAUCCCUUUGGUGGAGGUGUGGCGGUGCCUUUUAGGCUUCUUGAUCCCAUUCUUGUGGGCCUUGUAGGACUGGUUGUGAGCAGUGUGAUUCUUUGACUUGGCCAUCUCUGCAACACAAUCAUUAAUUAAACAAAAAACUUGUAAAAAAUUCAGAUAAAAAAACGAAGCUUUCCAUAAGAAUAAUCAAUUCAGGUUUUAGGGUUAUGACGGAUGAAGGAGAACCUGAGAGAGAGCAAGGAGGCGGAUGCGG
rnacentral:misc_RNA from 1 species